CCGCGUGAGGUGAUGACGGCCUUCGGGUUGUAAACCUCUUUUAUUAGGGAAGAAGGGCUUCCGCUUGACGGUACCUGGUUAAAAAGCACCGGCUAACUACGUGCCAGCAUCCGCGGUAAUACGUAGGGUGCAAGCGUUGUCCGGAAUUAUUGGGCGUAAAAAGCUCGUAGGCGGUUUGUCGCGUCUGCUGUGAAAACCCGAGGCUCAACCUCGGGCCUGCACUGGGUACGGGCAGACUAGAGUGCGGUAGGGGAGAAUGGAAUUCCAGGUGUAGCGAUGGAAUGCGCAAAUAUCAAGAGGAACACCGAUGGCGAAGGCCGUUCUCUGGGCCGGAACUGACGCUGAGGAGCGAAAGCGUGGGGAGCGAACAGGAUUAGAUACCCUGGUAAUCCACGCCCUAGACGUUGGGCGCUAGAUGUGGGGACCUUUCCACGGUUUCCGUGUCGCAGCUAACGCAAUAAGCGCCCCGCCGGGGGAGUACGGCCGCAAGGCUAAAACUCACAGGAAUUGACGGGGGCCCGCACAAGCGGCGGAGCAUGCGGAUUAAUUCGAUGCAGCGCGAAGAACCUUACCAAGGCUUGACAUAUACGAGAACGGGCCAGAAAUGGUCAACUC
rnacentral:rRNA from 1 species